rnacentral:lncRNA from 1 species
AUGGUAUACCGGCAACAAAUAACUUCUACUUUUUUGGUCUCCGAAACAAUAGAUCUAGAGGCCUAAAGCAGAGCACAGAGAUUCUGAAUGUUGACAAGGUAUUCUUUAAUAGAGAGCUCACAUUUUUUUACGGAAUACAAUUCAUGCCUAACACGAGACACCUUAGCACCAAUAGAUGCCACAAACAGUCGAUUCACAGUGUUCUAGACAUCGCAAGCCGACUUCGCGGUUGUAAAGCAAGACAACAAAGACGCACUGGUCGUAGAAAGCAACUAGGAGGCAAGGAGCUUGUCUUGUUGAACAAACAUGAAAUCUUUUGGAUUUGGAGUUUAAGCACCAUCCGGAGACGCCACAAACCUAGGCGGUAAAGAUAACGUGCCGUCUAAACUAACAACUCAUCUUUCAACAAUUAGACGCACAUUGCUGUCAUUGAACAAAAAUUUUCUCAUCUAAUUUUAUUGUGUCAUGGCGAGGAAAACACUAAAUCAAACGUGAGCUGGAAAACGUCGGACUAGAGUGAUCAACGGAAGUGGAGUCUGUCGAAUUAGCCAUGGAUUAGCAAAGAAAACAAGCACCAGGACCUCAGGCGACUGAUACCAUAUUAGGUACCAUAUUCUUGAGUAAGAACAGAGAAGAAAUUGAAAAAAUGUGAAUUACUAAAGAAACUUGCUUAGUAUAUUAUUUUGUAGUGAUUUCUACAAUGCUAGUGUUUUUAUAUUUGAUUUUUGAGUAACUGCUGUUAACAAACUAUAUCAGCCUAAGUAACAGAAUGAUAAUAGACUAACAAUAUCUGUUAUCUAACAGUUAAAAAUGGAUCUUGUCACACUUGGGAUGGUGGUUCUUUGUUGCUGUCCCAACGAAACAUUAGAUGAAUGCGACAUUCAUUCAAAAAGUGGUCCCCCCAUCUACAUAAUUGCUUUGUGAGCUCUCACCAUGGCCAAUAGUUGUGUGUGAGUCCAGUUAAACCUCCAAGUUUUAUUGAUUGUCUUUCUCCAGGAGUUUCCGAACCAAACAAGGUGUUGUGGCGUUGUUUGGAGUUGGCCGAAUUUCCCCAAAACAACAUAGGGUACACCAUUUCAACACACAUGUGAUUGAUAGCAACAAGUUGCAAUUUAGGGCAAAGUAUCUUUUGUCAUGCAUGUGCCCUGAGAGGUCAUACGAUUAUAGCAAUCCUCGAAGCCAAAGCUCGAAGAAAGAAACAUAAAACAGGAUUUAUAUGCUGCCUCAAUUUUCGUCAUAUAUAUUUUAAUUUUUUAUGUCUGUUUUACGGUUCAUGUUUGAAGUUUAUAAUUGCAUCUCUAAACAAUAUCGUCUUCAAAUUUAUAUUUCCUUAUUAAAAGUGUAAUGUACUUCACCGUUACUUUCAUAUUUGUUGAUAAGCUCCCUCA